UGAAGUCGGAAUUGCUGUAAUCGCGGAUCAGCAUGCCGCGGUGAAUACGUUCCCGGGCCUUGUACACACCGCCCGUCACACCAUGGGAGCCGGUAAUACCCGAAGUCAGUAGUCCAACCUCGUGAGGACGCUGCCGAAGGUAGGAUUGGCGACUGGGGUGAAGUCGUAACAAGGUAUC
rnacentral:rRNA from 1 species